CAAUAAGCGGAGGAAAAGAAACUAACAAGGAUUCCCCUAGUAACGGCGAGUGAAGCGGGAAGAGCUCAAAUUUGUAAUCUGGCGGUCUAUGGCCGUCCGAGUUGUAGUCUGGAGAAGCGUUUUCUGCGUCGGACCGUGUACAAGUCCCUUGGAACAGGGCGUCACAGAGGGUGAGAAUCCCGUCUUUGACACGGACUGCCGGCGCUUUGUGAUGCGCUCUCGAAGAGUCGAGUUGUUUGGGAAUGCAGCUCAAAACGGGUGGUAAAUUCCAUCUAAAGCUAAAUAUUGGCGAAAGACCGAUAGCGAACAAGUACCGUGAGGGAAAGAUGAAAAGCACUUUGGAAAGAGAGUUAAACAGUACGUGAAAUUGUUGAAAGGGAAACGCUUGAAGUCAGUCGCGUCUCCCGGGACUCAGCCUUGCGUUUCUCGCCUGGCGUACUUCCCGGGACGACGGGCCAGCAUCGGUUUUGACCGUCGGAAAAAGGCUUUGGGAAUGUGGCACCUUCGGGUGUGUUAUAGCCCUCGGUCGUAUGCGACGGUUGGGAUCGAGGACCGCAGCACGCCUUUAUGGUCGGGGUUCGCCCACGUAACGUGCUUAGGAUGCUGGCGUAAUGGCUUUAAGCGACCCGUC
rnacentral:rRNA from 1 species